rnacentral:rRNA from 1 species
UACGGGGGGGGCAAGCGUUGUUCGGAAUUACUGGGCGUAAAGGGCGCGUAGGCGGCCUGCUAAGUCGGACGUGAAAUCCCCCGGCUCAACCGGGGAACUGCGUCCGAUACUGGUGGGCUCGAAUCCGGGAGAGGGAUGUGGAAUUCCAGGUGUAGCGGUGAAAUGCGUAGAUAUCUGGAGGAACACCGGUGGCGAAGGCGGCAUCCUGGACCGGUAUUGACGCUGAGGCGCGAAAGCCAGGGGAGCAAAGCGGG